CCCGGGCUCUCCCCGCGCCCGCUGCUGCGGCCUGCGCUGCUCCCUGAGCGCGGCCGCGUCAGGCUGGCCCGGGCAGGUGUGGCCCUUCGGGGUGGCCGGCCCCAUCGGUGGGUCCCUGACCCUCGAGUUGACCACUGGCCCGGGAUCGUUCACCGACCCGCUGAGCGUUGACUCCUGAUCAUCGACUGACCCACGGUCAUCGACCAAACAAUGGUCUUAAUUUUUUACAACAGUAGAUAGGUGUCAUCAUUUACAAUUUUCAGAUGAAGAAAUUAUUACAUCAGGAAUGAUGGUGGUAAUAAUUCUAUAAAGAAAUUAUGCAGUCAUAACAUGGAAAUAUAACAAGUCAAUCAGAAGCAGUCCAAUGUGCAGUAACAAUGCAAGGAAACUUAAAAUUAGGAAUGGUGGCAUCCAAGCAGAGGUCUACUAUUCUUUCAAUUUAUUUAAAUAAAGACAAAUCAAAGCUUGGACCUCUUACAUAAAUGUGAAAUUCUUCAGUCGUCACAAAAAGUGCAACAUUACUCUGUGACACUCCCUUACAGUGUACAGAAAUAUACAUAUCAAAAGCAUAUCAAAAAAUAGUUACAGAGCUUCUCUCUAACUUUCUCUGCUUUCUCUGAUUCUCUGUUCAAGGUUAGUCAAUCUGCAUUUAAUCAAACCAAAGAUUUUUUCUUUUUCCUCCAUUCAGGAAAUGCUACAACCCUAAAAACUAGAUUCAAACAGGCUGAGAAGAUAUAGACUAGUAAAACCACAGUCUUACUAGCCAUUUGGCCAUCUCCAAUGGUGUUACAACUAUUCAUGAAUUUGUAGUCAUGGGUAAGCAGAACCCCAUAAAAAUAAAGACAUUCUUUGAACCUCAUGUUCAAUGUUUUUUAAACAGCAGGCAGGAAAAAAAGAAAUAAUGGAUGUCAAUAGGAUUUAAAUGCUUUUGAAACAUUAUCUUCUGUCUUUCCUCUUUGUUAUUUAACUGAUAAGAAUUUUAUUUUCACAGUCAUUAGCUGCAAAGGCAGCUAGAACCUCUCAGCUGCCUUUUUUCCUUUGUCACUUUAGGAGAGCUAGAAGAAAGUUGAAUCAUUUUUGUUCUUCUUGUUCCCCUUUGCUAAAUGAAUUCAAAACUCACCUUUUAAGUUUUUGGCCAGUGAUUACCUGCAACUCUCUUCUGUUAUAAAAU